rnacentral:rRNA from 1 species
UGCGGCCUACGGGGCGCAGCAGUGGGGAAUACUGCACAAUGGGGGAAACCCUGAUGCAGCAACGCCGCGUGAAGGAAGACGGUUUUCGGAUUGUAAACUUCUGUUCUUAGUGAAGAAGAAUGACGGUAGCUAAGGAGCAAGCCACGGCUAACUACGUGCCAGCAGCCGCGGUAAUACGUAGGUGACAAGCGUUGUCCGGAAUUACUGGGCGUAAAGGGAGCGCAGGCGGGAAGCCAAGUCAGCUGUGAAAAAUACGGGCUUAACUUGUAGACUGCAGUUGUAACUGGUUUUCUUGAGUGAAGGAG